UUAGUGGGCCGUUAAAUCCCCUUAGGCAGAUGGUCAGUUCCGAAGCUAAUGUCAGAGCUCUUCUCCUCAAGGCUCAAACCCUAACCUCUGUCUCUCUUUCUCUCAUUGACCGCCCCUCCAAGAUCUUCAAUUGGCGUGGCCUGAGACAACAGCCUUAAGAAAUUGGCUUCGUGUGGCUGAGAGUUCGUCUCUUCCUGAAGAAGCUGAAGCCUUUUGUUUGGAUAACAUAGAAGAGGGUAUCCCUAUACUGGAGGAGGAGUUUUCACGGGCUUAUCAAUGUAUAGGUUUUUGCCACAAUGAUUUGCAGUAUAGCAAUAUAAUGAUUGAUGAAGAGACCAAUUCUAUAACCAUCAUUCAAUAAGGUCUUAGUGGGGAAGGCUUGAUGGGAUUUCUGAAAGUAGUCAUACGAGCAUUAGGCGUGGUGGAUAUAUAUAUAUAUAUAUAUAUAUAAAUAUUUAUGGAGUUGGAUAUUGGAUUAUAUCCAUUUUUAUUCCUGUAUCAACUCUAUUAUUGCUGUCAUUCUUGUGUGCUUCUUCUUUGCAAUUUGCAAAGAUUUAUUGUUAUUGAAUUA